rfam:Aedes aegypti strain Liverpool supercont1.71 genomic scaffold, whole genome shotgun sequence.
UGCCCAGUAACUCCUAUUUCUACCUUCUCGCAGUACUGGCCGGGGUACGAACAACCUUAGGGAAGAUUGGGUAACCAACACCAGGAGGAAUUUGGUCGUAUGCUGACAGGGAAGG